CCUACGGGGAGCAGCAGUGAGGAAUAUUGGUCAAUGGACGAGAGUCUGAACCAGCCAAGUAGCGUGAAGGAUGACUGCCCUAUGGGUUGUAAACUUCUUUUAUAUGGGAAUAAAACGUUCCACGUGUGGGAUUUUGUAUGUACCAUAUGAAUAAGGAUCGGCUAACUCCGUGCCAGCAGCCGCGGUAAUACUGAGGAUCCGAGCGUUAUCCGGAUUUAUUGGGUUUAAAGGGAGCGUAGGUGGAUUGUUAAGUCAGUUGUGAAAGUUUGCGGCUCAACCGUAAAAUUGCAGUUGAAACUGGCAGUCUUGAGUACAGUAGAGGUGGGCGGAAUUCGUGGUGUAGCGGUGAAAUGCUUAGAUAUCACGAAGAACUCCGAUUGUGAAGGCAGUUCACUGGACUGCAACUGACACUGAGGCUCGAAAGUGUGGGUAUCAAACAGGAUUAGAUACCCUAGUAGUC
rnacentral:rRNA from 1 species